rnacentral:lncRNA from 1 species
AUCCCACUGCCCCCAUCCCCACCCCACUGCUCCCAUCCCCAUCCUACUGCCCCCAUCCUACUGCCCCCACCCCACUGCUCCCAGUUCCCAUCCCAUCACUCCCAGUUCCCGUCCCAUCACUCCCAGUUCCCGUCCCGUUACUCCCCAUUCCACCCCAUUGCUCCCAGUUCCCAUCCCACCGCUCCCUGUCCCCAUUCCCAUCAUUCCCAGUUCCCACCCCACCCUAUUCCUGUUCCCAUCCCAAUCCCAUCCCACCCCCUUCUCAAUUCCCAUCCCAUCCCCUCCCAGUUUCCACCCUUAUCCCAUCCCACCCCUAUUCCCAUCGCAAUUCCUAUUCCCAGUUCCCAUCCCAUUCCCAUCCCAAUCCCCAUCCCAGUUCCCAUCCCAUUCCCAUCCCAGUUCCCAUCCCAUUCCCAUCCCGUUCCCAUCCCAAUCCCCAUCCCAUUCCCAUCCCAUUCCCAUUCCAGUUCCCAUCCCAGUUCCUAUUCCAGUUCCCAUCCCAAUUCUCAUCCCAAUCCCCAUCCCAAAUCCCAUCCCCAUCAACAUCCCAAUUCCCAUCCUCACCCCAUCCCCAAUCCCAAUUCCCCUCCCCAUCCCCGUUCCCCCCCCACUGCUGACCCACAGGGACGCAGAGGGGUUCGGCCCCAUAAG